UACGUAGGGGGCAAGCGUUGUCCGGAUUUAUUGGGCGUAAAGAGCGUGUAGGCGGCCAGGUAGGUCCGUUGUGAAAACUGGAGGCUUAACCUCCAGCUGUCGAUGGAAACCAUCUGGCUAGAGUCCGGAAGAGGAGAGUGGAAUUCCUGGUGUAGCGGUGAAAUGCGCAGAUAUCAGGAGGAACACCGAUGGCGAAGGCAGCUCGCUGGGACGGUACUGACGCUGAGGCGCGAAAGCGUGGGGAGCAAACGGG
rnacentral:rRNA from 1 species